UACGUAGGGACCGAGCGUUGUCCGGAUUCAUUGGGCGUAAAGAGCUCGUAGGCGGCUGUUCAAGUCGAACGUGAAAACUCGGAGCUCAACUCCGAGCCUGCGUUCGAUACUGGACGGCUAGAGUCUGGUAGGGGGAUCUGGAAUUCCUGGUGUAGCGGUGGAAUGCGCAGAUAUCAGGAGGAACACUGGUGGCGAAGGCGGGAUCCUGGGCCAGUACUGACGCUGAGGAGCGAAAGCGUGGGGAGCAAACAGG
rnacentral:rRNA from 1 species